ensembl:lncRNA
CAAACAUUUACUGGACUGAUUUAAUUAUUAAAAUCACUCCUUUCUAAUCCUCUGCUGUACUUUCAAACCCGAGACCUUAAAUAGAAACACACAAGUAUCUGAUUGAAGGAACUUCUGCAGAGUCCUGGUUCCAGAACAUGAUGAUAGAAUUAUAGACAAACUUUACCAAAAGCUGCCUGAGAGUUUACAGGUUUUUAUGUUGGAUUUCUUCAGUAAUUUAAUGAGAGUUAUCAGCAAAAAUCAAGUGUUCAGUUGAUGAACUUCAUUUCCUAAAACAUCCAGAAUUGGAGCUCAUAUCUUUGGCAGCUGUAAAAUUUCUAUUCCUUCAAAGUUCACAACACAAUGAAUGAAUUCCUAAAACACUCUCAAUGCUGGAGAGCGUUUGUGAUGCUGAAGCAGUGACCAGUUUUUCUGUUUAUUCUCUGGAGAUGCACAAUGAGGGACGUCUGCAGAGACUGAGAAAGAGUCUCACCACAUCCUGACAUGAGGAAAAAGACUUUAUUGAAGACUACAAUGAGAAAAACUAUCAGACAGCAGACGGCUGCAUUCAAGUCUGUAGCUGCUGAAUUCAUGGAUGAAUCAUCUGGCACUAGAGAGGAAGACCAUCAAACAUCCACGUCAGCUGAUGGAGGUCCAAGAGUCUCACCAAACAAACAACCUACAGAGUGAAGACCUCGAAUCUGAUUGGACGGCCUCCUAUUCAGCCACGUUUUAGGCUGUUAGAUUGUUCCAGAUAAGACGAGUACAAGAUUCUUCAGAGCCGUUCUACCAUGAGCCUGACAGGAAGAACUCCAACAGCUACUGAAUGUUCCUGUGG